CCUACGGGAGGCAGCAGUCGGGAAUCUUGCGCAAUGGGCGAAAGCCUGACGCAGCAACACCGUGCGAGCGACGAAGGCCUUCGGGUCGUAAAGCUCUGUUGUUGGGGACGAAGGGCGAAGGGUUAAUAGCCCCUAGCUUGACGGUACCCUUCGAGGAAGCCCCGGCUAACUACGUGCCAGCAGCCGCGGUAAUACGUAGGGGGCGAGCGUUGUCCGGAAUUAUUGGGCGUAAAGAGCGUGUUGGCGGUUCGGUAAGUCUGCCGUGAAAACCUGGGGCUCAACCCCGGGCGUGCGGUGGAAACUGCCGGGCUAGAGGAUGGUAGAGGCGAGUGGAAUUCCCGGUGUAGCGGUGAAAUGCGCAGAUAUCGGGAGGAACACCAGUAGCGAAGGCGGCUCGCUGGGCCAUUCCUGACGCUGAGACGCGAAAGCUAGGGGAGCAAACAGGAUUAGAUACCCUGGUAGUCCUAGCCGUAAACGAUGAACACUAGGUGUGGGGGGAGUCGAAUCCCUCUGUGCCGCAGCCAACGCGAUAAGUGUUCCGCCUGGGGAGUACGGCCGCAAGGCUAAAACUCAAAAGAAUUGACGGGGGCCCGCACAAGCAGCGGAGCAUGUUCUUUAAUUCGAUGCAACGCGAAGAACCUUACCUGGGCUUGGCAUGGUGCUGCAAGCGCACGGAAACGUGUGACCUUCGAGGGUGCACCACAGAUGCUGCAUGGCUGUCGUCAGCUCGUGUCGUGAGAUGUUGGGUUAAGUCCCGCAACGAGCGCAACCCCCGUGGUGUGUUGCCAGCAUUAAGUUGGGGACUCACACCAGACUGCCGGUGACAAACCGGAGGAAGGUGGGGAUGACGUCUAGUCAUCCUGGCUCUUACGCGCAGUGCUAGAAACGUGCUACAUGGGUACGUAAGGGUUGCGCACUGCGAGGUGGAGCGUAUCUCCUCAAAGUAGAGCUUGUUCAGCAUCAGGGUCUGCACUCUACUCCG
rnacentral:rRNA from 1 species